AUGGCUACCCGCAGAGCCAAAAAGCGAAAACGGCAGGAGACCGAGUUGGUCUCCGGCGUCCGAUCACCGGCGAGCGGCAAGCGCGAAGUCGGAGAAGGUCCCGACCUGAUCAGCAACCUACCCGACGACGUUCUCUGCGACAUCAUCUCGCUCCUCCCCACCGAGGACGGCGCCCGCACCCAGAUCCUCUCCGCCCGGUGGCGCCCCCUCUUCCGCUCCGCCCCGCUCAACCUCGACGUCGAGCUCCGCCGCAAAGACGAGCCCGCCCCCUCCGGCCUCGUCUCCCGCAUUCUCGCCGAGCACCAGGCGCGCUGCCGCCGGCUUGCCCUGAUCUGGUACGGCUACAAAUCUGACGACGUCUUCCCAUUACUGAACGGCUGGCUCGAGUCGCCGGCCUUCAAAGGCCUCUCCGAGUUCGAUCUGUGGCUAAAGCACGAGGAAAUUUGCCAGAAACUUCGGUUCGUGCCAACGUGGGAUGUUCCGUAUGCGCUGCCACUGUCCUUGCUCCGGCUUUUGCCCAAGCUCCGCGUCCUCAGCAUCAAGUGUACCUGCUACGUGAUCCAUUUCCCCUCCACUACCACCUUGGCCGGCGAUCUACAUUUCCCCGAACUCAAGCAGCUCACGCUCAAAGGUGUCGUCGUCUCGGAGGGCUUCCUCCAUGGCCUUCUUGCUGGAUGCACCGUGCUGGAGAGCUUGGUACUUAGUGGAUUGGAAGGUGCCCGUGGUGUUCGGAUCAACUCGUCCACCCUUAGAAGGCUAGGGGUGUCGCCUGGUUCUGGUUGGACAGAUGAAUUGUUGCGAGAAGUCAUUGUUGAGGACGCCCCUCUCCUAGAGAAGUUGUUCCUAUAUGGGAGAGAUGACGGCCUAUCAGUCCGGGUGCUUUGCGCACCCAAACUGGACUUCUUGGGUUCUUUGCCAGAAGGGUUCACCAAAGGCAAGCUUGAAACCAAUGUUCUUCAGGGAAUUGUUGCCGUCAAUUUGAUGAAUGUGGUGCGGACAGUUAAAGUUUUGGUUUUGCGCAUGUCCCCUCCAAGUGUUGAUGAUGCCAUUCACUAA
rnacentral:rRNA from 1 species